rnacentral:rRNA from 1 species
GAUGAACGCUGGCGGCGUGCUUAACACAUGCAAGUCGAACGGAAAGGCCCAAGCUUGCUUGGGUACUCGAGUGGCGAACGGGUGAGUAACACGUGGGUGAUCUGCCCUGCACUUCGGGAUAAGCCUGGGAAACUGGGUCUAAUACCGGAUAGGACCACAUCUUGGAUGGUGUGGUGGAAAGUUUUUCGGUGUGGGAUGAGCUCGCGGCCUAUCAGCUUGUUGGUGGGGUAAUGGCCUACCAAGGCGUCGACGGGUAGCCGGCCUGAGAGGGUGUACGGCCACAUUGGGACUGAGAUACAGGCCAGACUCCUACGGGAGGCAGCAGUGGGGAAUAUUGCACAAUGGGCGCCAGCCUGAGGCAGCGACGCCGCGUGGGGGAUGAGGGCCUUCGGGUUGUAAGCUCCUUUCGCUAGGGACGAAGCGUUUUUGUGACGGUACCUGGAGAAGAAGCACCGGCUAACUACGUG